rnacentral:rRNA from 1 species
UAGGGAAUCUUCGGCAAUGGACGAAAGUCUGACCGAGCAACGCCGCGUGAGUGAAGAAGGUUUUCGGAUCGUAAAACUCUGUUGGUAGAGAAGAACGUUGGUGAGAGAGGAAAGCUCAUCAAGUGACGGUAACUACCCAGAAAGGGACGGCUAACUACGUGCCAG